AUGCCUGGGGCACACGCGUGGAUCUGUGUCCCUGGCGUGUCCCCAUGUUGGCUGUGGCAUGUCCCAGGCAUGUCCCUUUCCAUGUCCAUGCGUGUCCAUGCAGUGGUGGUGGCGUGUCCCUGUCCGUGCCCAUGCGUGUCCCCACGCUGGCUGUGGCGUGUCCCCACGGUGGCCGUGGCAUGUCCCAGCUGUGUCUCCAGCCACGUCCUUGCAAGUCCCCACGGUGGCCAUGGCCUGUCCCUAGCUGUGUCCUUCCACGGCCCCCCCCAUGGUGGUGGCCGUGUCCCCAGGAUGCUUGUGGCCACAACCCUGUCCUUGCGUGUCCCCCAUGGCAGCGUUGGCAUCUUCCUUGCGUGUCCUCCCAUGGCAGCGUUGGCGUGUCCCCCGCGGUGGGCAUGUUCCCACAGGGGGGGGGGGGGGGUCCCGAUGGCCCCGUGGUGGCCAUGUCCCCGUGUCAGCUAUGUCCUUAUGCCCGCUAGGUCCUCAUGGCGGCUAUGUCCCUAUGGUCCCCUUGUCCCCAAAUCCUUGUCCCCUGGUCCCCAAGGUGGCCAUGUCCCCAUGUCACCACCUCCCUGUGUCCCCAUAGCGGCCUUGUCCCCAUAUCCUAAUGUCCCAGGUCCUGGUGAUGGCAGGGUCCUGGUGGUCAUGCUCACCCGCCCCCGGUGUCACCAUCCUCCUGUGGUCCCAUGGUGUCCCCAUGUCCCCGUGGCCGUGCCCCCCCCCAAUCUGUCCCCUUAUCCCCGCUCCAUGGUGGCCAAAUCCUGAUGACCCUCUUCCCCCACUAUGUCCCUGUGGCCCGGCAUCCCCAUGUCCUUGUGUGUCCUUAUGGGCCCGGUGUCACCAUCCCCCCCCCCGUGUCCUCGCGGUGGCCGGGUCCCCGUUAUCCCCCUGUCUCGCAGGGCCGCGUACUCCACGGUGUCCUCGGCCUCCCUGGUGUCCACGCAGCGUCCCUGUGGCGUCCCCGGCGAGGACAGGGCCAGGGCAGCGUAGAGCAGGGUCCCUUCCCGGUUCCCGUCCCCAUCGCUCUGGCCGGGAUGGACGUUCUCGUAGUCGGGCCCCUCAGUGGCCUGUGGGGACACAGGCAGCCUCGGACGGGGGGGUGACAUAGGGGUGAUGAGGGGACAUGGGACUCGGGGACAACCAGGGGACAUGGACGGGAAACGGAGGGACAUGGGGGACAUGGAGAACAUGGGGGACAUGGAGGGACAUGGAGAUCAUGGGGGACAUGAAGGGACAUGGGGGACAUGGUAGGGACAUGGUCAUGGAGGGACAUGGAGAACAUGGGGGACAUGGUGUCAUGAAGGGACAGGGAGAACAUGGGGGACAUGGAGAACAUGGUGGGGUCAUGGAGGGACAUGGGGACAUGGAGGGACACAGUGGUACCUUGGCACCCCCCUGGCUCCUCUUGAGGACACUGUAGACCACGGUGUCCCCUCGCAACCUAGCAGAGGGGACAGAGACAGGGUAGAUCACCCGGAUGCCUGGGCCCCCGGGGACAAGGUGACCCAUGGGUGGGGUGUGUUACCUGGCCCCGGUCCCCGACGAGCAGCCAGAGGGGAAGAGCAGCGAUGAGUAACUCAGGGUGGCAUCGGUGGGACCCUCCGGGGACCCAGCUGUCCGGGGCUGCCGAGGGGGACCCAGGUGUCCGGGCUGAGAUGUCACCUCCGUGGAGCACCAUAAGGAGCCCAGAGGGACCCAGGCGUCCGGGAAGGACCCAGGCGUCCGGGGUAGGGUUGGGGAGAGGGGGGGUCAGGUACCUUCUUAU
rnacentral:lncRNA from 1 species